GUGCAAACGAAGAUAACAUUAACAGCUAUUUGCAUUGGUUUGAUGUUUUUGUUUUCUAUGGUAGUUUUGACUGAUGAAUUACUGGACAGAUACUGCAGAAAAGUUUACUUUCUUUACACGCCACAAUGUCACCAAAGUCACAAAAAGGUCAUAGAGGGUGAAGAUUUUGAACUGAAUUACAAGUUGUCGACUGACAGAUUUCCAAUUCGCUUUUUGAAAAAUGGUGCAUUUUUACCAGAAACAAAUAAUGUCAUGAGGCGUAUAGCUGGUCGUUGGAAAACUUUAGUGAUCACUGGCAUUACUCUUAAUGAUGA